rnacentral:rRNA from 1 species
AACGAACGCUGGCGGCGGGUCUUAGGCAUGCAAGUCGAACGAACCCUUCGGGGUUAGUGGCGGACGGGUGAGUAACACGUGGGAACGUGCCUUUAGGUUCGGAAUAACUCAGGGAAACUUGUGCUAAUACCGAAUGUGCCCUUCGGGGGAAAGAUUUAUCGCCUUUAGAGCGGCCCGCGUCUGAUUAGCUAGUUGGUGAGGUAAUGGCUCACCAAGGCUACGAUCAGUAGCUGGUCUGAGGGGAUGACCAGCCACAUUGGGACUGAGACACGGCCCAAACUCCUACGGGAGGCAGCAGUGGGGAAUCUUGCGCAAUGGGCGAAAGCCUGACGCAGCCAUGCCGCGUGGAUGAUGAAGGUCUUAGGAUUGUAAAAUCCUUUCACCGGUGAAGAUAAUGACUGUAGCCGGAGAAGAAGCCCCGGCUAACUUCGUGCCAGCCGCCGCGGUAA